AAAUCUUUAAAAAAAAAAAAAGAAAAAGAAAAAGAAAGGUGCUCUAUUAAGAAAGAAUAGGUAUUUUGAUCAAUUUGCAGAAAUGCUUUGAAUAUCAUUAGAACCCACUUAAGAUUAUGACCUGCAUCGUCUUAGAAAGCAGCAGUGUUUCCCAACAAUUUCCAGGGAAAGAAGGCAGUAUUUAACAAGACAGGUACACAGACAACAUCCGCAAACAAACUCAUACACACAACACAGGAAUGUAAGGCAAGUCAUCCAAUCAUUCCUGAAUUUGUCUCAAUAAUGUGAUAUUGCUACCAUUAGGCUAAUUAUAAUUCAUGCAGGAAGCAGCCCAGUUGGCUGCAAAUGAAAUGAUCAGAAUAUUUUAGAAUAUUUUAGAAUAAAUCAAGUACCUGAUAGUUUCAUGAGAAGUUCAGAGGCUGCUUUGACAGACAUAUCCCGCCUUAGCACAUUCCCCUUCCCUUCCUGGGGCUUAAGGGUGUCUUCAGAGAUGCUGGAGGCUGGCACUUCCGAUUCCGGGCUGAACACAUAGCUGGACCGAGGCAAAGUGGCGCUUAAGGCCUCCUCUUCCUUAGGCUCCUCUUUCACUUUAAAAUUAAGAUUCAUGGGCUCCUUCUGAUUCGCAGCUGUCAAAAGAAGAAAGGCAUUGUAUAUAUAUACAUAUACAAAAGGCCACUCCCCCUCUGAGCUGCCCCGGACUUAAUGAAAUACGGAAUGCACAAUCACAGUGUGCUAGCAGCAGGAGGGACCACAACCUCAUCAAAAUAGGCUGGGACCUGGGCAGAAAAAAAUACGGUACACUCCAUGAGCACAGGACUCUGAAGAAUGUGGGCUUCUGAAUCUUCGGAAGCUAUCAUCUUUUAAGAAGUGCUGCCUCUACAAAGUGGACAUUUUCUCUCUGGUUUCCCUAAACAUCUUAUUUCCUGUAUAUGCUGCUGCCUCCCUGACCUAUGAGCCUUCUCCCCACUUAGUCCUAUUAUAAAAUAAUGCUUUCAGGCAAUUAUUCUGCCAUAAAAUAUUCAAUAUAAACAUGAGUCAGAGGCAAUACCCAAAGCAAAAACCUGGAAUGGGGUAGUAAGGUGAUGAAGAAUCUGCCAGAGAGAAGCUCAGACUAGAGAUACUCCAAUUCUCAUUAUUAUGAAUGGAUGCUCCUGACCCAUGAGCCCUGGGGCACACAUGUGGAACUGUUUUCCCAGUCACAGUAAAUAAAUCCAUAUCUGUAGCUCAAGUCAUCUUUGGGUCCAUGAUGGGCUUUUUUUUUCCCCUAAGAUUUUAUUUUUAAGUGAUUUCCACACCCAACGUGGGGCUCGAACUCACAACCCUGAGAUCAAGAGUAGCAUGCUCCACCAACUGAGCCAGCCAGGUGCCCCUCACAAUGGGCAUUUUUAAAAAAGAAAAUCUUUUAUUUUGAAAUAGUUUCAGACUUAUAGAGAAGUUGCAAAGAUGGUUCAAGGAGUUCCCAUAUAUUCUUCACCCCGCAUUCUCUGAUGUUCACAUCUUACAUAACCAUGGUGCAUUUGUCAGAACUAAGAAAUUCACAUUGCUAUGAUCUAAACUCCAGAUUUUAUUCAGAUUUCACCAGUUUUUCCACUAAUGUCCUUUUUCCAUUUUUAGCAUGGUUGGUUCGAGUGGAGAGUGUGGUCAGGGCAGAGCUAACUGGCCUAUUAUGGGAUGGCUUCUGUGGCUUGGCUACCCCAUAGCAGCAGGCCUUCACCCACUGAGCUGUAUGCUCCCAGGGAAAGACCAAGGAGGAGGACAAGCAUCUUCGUCCACCACUGGCCACUUUCCCAAGCAUCUAGCUCCCCUUUUAUGGGCCAUGCAGUAGGAACUUCAGGUUGGUUGUAUUAGAUGUGUUUGUCUUUUAAGAAAGAAGAUCCAUCCUAAUACAGAAGUCUUAGUAACACUUAUGAGAGUGAGUCUGAAGCCCAUUUCUGCUUAACAAGUAAGAAUGAAAACAAAUCCCCAAAGCAAGCACUUGUAACCUGUUGUCCACCACCUACCCUAGGCCAGUACUCAAGCACAAAGUCCUUUCUCCCUUGUGCCCUCUAAGGGUAUACAUUCUGGAAUCACAAGUUCACACAGACCAGCAUAAUUAGAAACUGGACUCUGGAGGGCUAAGAUGACAGCCUGGAAUUUUGGAAGUUUUAGAAGUUUUACCACCAGAAAGAUGCAGAGCAGUUCCAAGAGCUGCCCACUUUGUGUCCCUCACUCAUUUUUACCUUUACCUACUUCCACCAUACCACUCCUCCACUUCUGGUCCCUGUGCUAUAACAACACUUGACUGUAAAUUGACCUUCAAGCACUGCCUUCUCAAUGAAGUCUACCCUGACCAUCCUGUUCAGAACUGCAAUUCCCAUCCUAUGGUAUUCCCAAUCUCUCUUACCUUACUCUUAUCCUCCUUUUGCUCCAAAAUACUUAUCACCUGAUAACUUCUUGUUAAGGAUUGAAUUGUGCCCACCCCCACCAAUUCUUUUUUUUUUUUAAUUUAAAUUCAAUUAGCCAACAUACAGUAUAUACUUGGUUUCAGAUGUAGUGUUCAAUAAUUUAUCAGUUGCAUAUAACAACCCAGUGCUCAUCACAUCAUAUGCCCUCCUUAGUACCCGUCACACACCUGCCCUCCAGCACCCCUCAGUUUGUUUGCUAGAAUUAAGAGUCUCUCAUGGUUUGUCUCCCUCUGAGGACUUCCUAUUCAGUUUUCCCUGCCUUUCCCUAUGAUCCUCUGCACUGUUUCUUAUAUUCCACAUAUGAGUGAAACCACACGAUAAUUGUUUUUCUCUGAUUGACUUAUUUCGUUCAGCAUAAUGCCCUCCAGUUCCACCCCCAUCAAUUCUUAUGUUCAAGCUCUAACCCAGGAUGUGGUUGUAUUCUGAGAUAAGUAAUUAAGGUUCAAUGAGGCCACAAAGGGGGGAGAUGUAAUCCAGUAUGAUUGAUGUCCUAUCAGAGACACCAGGGAUGCAUGCACAGAAAAGAAAGAUCAUGGGAGGACACAGCAAGAAGAUGGCCAUCUUCAAGCCAAAAAGAAAAGCCUCAGGAGAAACCAAACCUGCCAACACCUUAAUCAGACUUCCAGCCUUGAACUGUGAGCAGAUCUGAGCCACUUUGAUUAUAAAUUAUGCAUAUCUGUAAGUUCAAGCACUCAGUGGAGCUGAGCCACCAUUUAAAGGAAACAAAUCAGCUUUUUGAGGAUUUAUAAAGGAUGCAAGAUAAAAGCUAGUAUGGGAAAGCCACUGGGACAAAAUGAUUCCAAGUUUUCAAUUCUAAUGGCAGCUGAAUAAAUUUAAAGGCAUCUUGAGAUACAAAGUGAAUUGUUAAAAAUCUAUUCUUGUUUACCACAACAUCCCCAUGGAAGUAGUAUUUCUGGAAACUGCAAUCAGCAAAAUAAAUGUAGAAAUACACUAAAGGUUUAUGCUGCUAUAUGACCUCCCCCCAUCAUAACGCUAAUUCCAUGCUCUGUGCUUAUCAAAUAGCAACUCUGCUCUGAUUGCUGGACUUUUUGAGUAAGCAAAUGCAAUAA